GCAACGAGCGCAACCCUUGUCUUUAGUUUACCAUCAUUCAGUUGGGGACGUCUAGAGAGACUGCCGGUGAUAAACCGGAGGAAGGUGGGGGAUGACGUCAAAUCAUCAUGCCCCUUAUGGCCUGGGCUACAAACGUAAUACAAUGGCGUAUACAAAGGGAUGCGAAAGGGCGACCUGGAGCAAAACUCACAAAGUACGUCUCAGUUCAGAUUGGAGUCUGCAACUCGACUCCAUGAAGGCGGAAUCGCUAGUAAUCGCGGAUCAGCAUGCCGCGGUGAAUACGUUCUCGGGGUUU
rnacentral:rRNA from 1 species